GGGGCAUUAGCUCAGCUGGGAGAGCGCUACACUGGCAGUGUAGAGGUCAGCGGUUCGAGCCCGCUAUGCUCCACUA
rnacentral:tRNA from 2 species